rnacentral:rRNA from 1 species
AUUGAACGCUGGCGGCAGGCCUAACACAUGCAAGUCGAACGAGUGGCGGACGGGUGAGUAAUGUCUGGGAAACUGCCCGAUGGAGGGGGAUAACUACUGGAAACGGUAGCUAAUACCGCAUACCAUCGGAUGUGCCCAGAUGGGAUUAGCUAGUAGGUGGGGUAACGGCGCACCUAGGCGACGAUCCCUAGCUGGGCUGAGAGGAUGACCAGCUCAACUGUAACUGAGAGACGGUCCAGAGUCCUACGGGAGGAAGCAGUGGGGAAGUUGGCACAAUGGGCGCAAGCCUGAUGCAGCCAUGCCGCGUGUCUGAAGAAGGCCUUCGGGUUGUAAAGUACUUUCAGCGAGGAGGCGUUACUCGCAGAAGAAGCACCGGCUAACUCCGUGCCAGCCGCCGCGGUAAUAC